rnacentral:rRNA from 1 species
AACGAACGCUGGCGGCAUGCCUAACACAUGCAAGUCGAACGAGACCUUCGGGUCUAGUGGCGCACGGGUGCGUAACGCGUGGGAACCUGCCCUUAGGUUCGGAAUAACUCCCCGAAAGGGGUGCUAAUACCGGAUAAUGUCUUCGGACCAAAGAUUUAUCGCCUUUGGAUGGGCCCGCGUUGGAUUAGCUAGUUGGUAGGGUAAAAGCCUACCAAGGCGACGAUCCAUAGCUGGUCUGAGAGGAUGAUCAGCCACACUGGGACUGAGACACGGCCCAGACUCCUACGGGAGGCAGCAGUGGGGAAUAUUGCACAAUGGGCGAAAGCCUGAUGCAGCAAUGCCGCGUGAGUGAUGAAGGUCUUAGGGUUGUAAAGCUCUUUUACCCGGGAUGAUAAUGACGGUACCGGGAGAAUAAGCCCCGGCUAACUCCGUG